AGUGAACGCUGGCGGUAGGCCUAACACAUGCAAGUCGAACGGCAGCACAGUAAGAGCUUGCUCUUACGGGUGGCGAGUGGCGGACGGGUGAGGAAUACAUCGGAAUCUACUUUUUCGUGGGGGAUAACGUAGGGAAACUUACGCUAAUACCGCAUACGACCUACGGGUGAAAGCAGGGGAUCUUCGGACCUUGCGCGAUUGAAUGAGCCGAUGUCGGAUUAGCUAGUUGGCGGGGUAAAGGCCCACCAAGGCGACGAUCCGUAGCUGGUCUGAGAGGAUGAUCAGCCACACUGGAACUGAGGCACGGUCCAGACUCCUACGGGAGGCAGCAGUGGGGAAUAUUGGACAAUGGGCGCAGGCCUGAUCCAGCCAUACCGCGUGGGUGAAGAAGGCCUUCGGGUUGUAAAGCCCUUUUGUUGGGAAAGAAAAGCAGCAGGUUAAUACCCCGCUGUUCUGACGGUACCCAAAGAAUAAGCACCGGCUAACUUCGUG
rnacentral:rRNA from 1 species